rnacentral:pre_miRNA from 1 species
AGCUUUCCGAAUCCGUGCUGAGAUUUCGUCAGACAUGAACUCAUUUUGGCUGAUCAGACUUCCAAGAUAAGUGAGGUU